AGUUUUGGUCCGUUACUAAAUUAAUGGGAUCAUAUAAACAACGCGGACAGAUGCAGACCUGUUGGUCAGGUGGCACCAGCAUUCGCUCUCUACUUGUCUCUUGUGAUUUGAUCUU